UACGUAGGAUCCGAGCGUUGUCCGGAUUUAUUGGGUGUAAAGGGAGCGCAGGCGGGACUAUAAGUCGAGGGUGAAAUCUUACAGCUUAACUGUAAAACUGCCUUUGAUACUGUAGUUCUUGAGUGUAGGAAAGGGCGAUGGAAUUCAUGGUGUAGCGGUGAAAUGCGUAGAUAUCAUGAAGAACACCAGUUGCGAAGGCGGUCGCCUAGCCUAUUACUGACGCUCAUGCUCGAAAGUGUGGGGAG
rnacentral:rRNA from 1 species